UACGGAGGGUGCAAGCGUUAAUCGGAAUGACUGGGCGUAAAGGGCGAGUAGGUGGCAACUUAAGUUAGAUGUGAAAAACAUGGGCUCAACCUGUGUCGUGCAUUUAAGACUGAGUUGCUAGAGUACAGUAGAGGGAAGUGGAAUUUCCGGUGUAGCGGUGAAAUGCGUAGAUAUCGGAAGGAACAUCAGUGGCGAAGGCGGCUUUCUGGACUGAUACUGACACUGAGGAGCGAAAGCGUGGGGAGCAAACAGG
rnacentral:rRNA from 1 species